rnacentral:rRNA from 1 species
UAACGCGUGAGCAACCUGCCUAUGACAGUGGGAUAGCCUCGGGAAACCGGGAUUAAUACCGCAUAAAAUCGUAGAAACACAUGUUUUAGCGGUCAAAGAUUUAUCGGUCAUAGAUGGGCUCGCGUCUGAUUAGCUAGUUGGUGAGAUAACAGCCCACCAAGGCGACGAUCAGUAGCCGGUCUGAGAGGAUGAACGGCCACAUUGGAACUGAGAUACGGCCCAG